GGUGAGGUGUCCGAGUGGCUGAAGGAGCACGCCUGAAAGUGUGUAUACGGCAACGUAUCGGGGUUCGAAUCCCCCCCUCACCGCCA
rnacentral:tRNA from 1 species